GGGGAUUUAACUCAGAGGCAUAAGUGCCUGCCUUGCAAGCAGGCAGUCAUGUUUUCAAUCCCUG
rnacentral:tRNA from 1 species